GACGAACGCUGGCGGCGUGCUUAACACAUGCAAGUCGAACGGAGUGGCGAACGGGUGAGUAUUACGUGAGUAACCUGCCCUCAACUGGGGGAUAAGCCUGGGAAACUGGGUCUAAUACUGCAUAGUUGGGGAUGGGCUCGCGGCCUAUCAGCUGGUUGGUGGGGUGAUGGCCUACCAAGGCGGUGACGGGUAGCCGGCCUGAUAGGGUGAUCGGGAACAUUGGAAGGGAGAUACGGCCCCGAGUCCUACGGGAGGCAGUAGUGGGGGAUAUUGCACAAUGGGCGCAAGCCUGAUGCAGGUGCGCCGCGUGAGGGAUGAGGGCUUUCGGGUUGUAAACCUCUUUCGGAACAGAACGGGUAUGUACAGAAGAAGCACCGGCUAACUACGUGCCAGCAGCCGCGGUAAUUC
rnacentral:rRNA from 1 species